AGUCGUAACAAGGUAUCCGUAGGUGAACCUGCGGAUGGAUCAUUAAAGAAGGGAUUUAAAUCUCUACGUCUAGUGAACGGUUUUGGGUUUGGGUGUGUGUGUGUUUAGGGGGGGCCUGCGCUCUGCUGACGCACACGCUCUCUUGGUGAAAGCACGUAUUUUUUCCUUACACUGAAGUCUUUGAGAUUACGGUGAGAAACUGAAACAACUUUUAGCAACGGAUCUCUUGGCUCUC
rnacentral:misc_RNA from 1 species